rnacentral:rRNA from 1 species
AUUGAACGCUGGCGGCAUGCCUUACACAUGCAAGUCGAACGGCAGCACGGGGGCAACCCUGGUGGCGAGUGGCGAACGGGUGAGUAAUGUAUCGGAACGUGCCCUGGAGUGGGGGAUAACUAGUCGAAAGAUUAGCUAAUACCGCAUACGAUCUACGGAUGAAAGUGGGGGAUCGCAAGACCUCAUGCUCGUGGAGCGGCCGAUAUCUGAUUAGCAGUUGGUAGGGUAAAGCCUACCAAGGCGACGAUCAGUAGCUGGUCUGAGAGGACGACCAGCCACACUGGGACUGAGACACGGCCCAGACUCCUACGGGAGGCAGCAGUGGGGAAUUUUGGACAAUGGGGCAACCCUGAUCCAGCAAUGCCGCGUGAGUGAAGAAGGCCU